AGAACGAACGCUGGCGGCAGGCUUAACACAUGCAAGUCGAACGCCCUCGCAAGGGGGAGUGGCAGACGGGUGAGUAACACGUGGGAACAUACCCUUCGGUUCGGAACAACGCCGGGAAACUGGCGCUAAUACCGGAUACGGCUUUUGAGCGAAAGAUUUAUCGCCGAAGGAUUGGCCCGCGUUCGAUUAGCUUGUUGGUGAGGUAACGGCUCACCAAGGCGACGAUCGAUAGCUGGUCUGAGAGGAUGGCCAGCCACAUUGGGACUGAGACACGGCCCAAACUCCUACGGGAGGCAGCAGUGGGGAAUAUUGGACAAUGGGCGCAAGCCUGAUCCAGCCAUGCCGCGUGAGUGAUGACGGCCUUAGGGUUGUAAAGCUCUUUCGCACGCGACGAUAAUGACGGUAGCGUGAGAAGAAGCCCCGGCUAACUUCGUGCCAGCAGCCGC
rnacentral:rRNA from 1 species